CUCAGUUGUCGUUUCGCUUUAUUCUGAAGGAAUUCUUCAUAAGACUCAGACCAGUGCCACAGGCAGUUUAUUUGCACACGCCAUUUUUCCAUUCCAAAGACAGGCUUUAGAUUUUACUGGUGCAUGGUCCAUUGCCAGCAACAGACACACAAACCCACCAGUGAAACUGAACUUAAAAGUGGUAAAAAUAAGACACGCUUGAAGAGAAUUUUUUUUUUAAUAUAGUUUUCAUUUAAAAAAUAAAAUAGAUGAAAUUUUAAAAUAGGAACAUCAAAUUCCAACUAAAAUUUUAAAAUAUUUUCAUGCUAAAAGCCAGAGUCUGGAUGUGAGCCUCAUGGAAGCUACACAGAAGUAAAACAGAAAGAAAUUUAAUCUUUCACAUUAUUUGUAUUCAUAUCUUUACUUUCUUGGUUAACGUGACUGUUGGUAUUUUUACUACAUUGGUCUGAAUCCUCACUUUUAUUUUCUAUUUCCAUAGCACUGCUUUCCACAGGACUGUGGGGAGAUUCUUCAUCUAUUUCUGCUUCCAUUUUUGUGACUGCAUCACGUUCUUUAUCUUCCACAUCCAUUCCUUCCUCCGUUUGUGCUGGUCUGCAUUGAACUUCCUCCUCUGUUUUACCUUCUGAUUCCCCCUCUUUCCUCUUUGCUUUAAACACUUCAACUCCCAUCAUCCUCAAGUAAUGAAGUCUCUCAUUCUUGGGCACAAAGGCACGGAGCGAUGUCUUUCCUUGCCAACCACAGAGCACUAUAGGACACUGAAGAUCAUCAGGUUUUUCAGGGUCUGGCUCAUACUUCAGAACUAUACUUCCCAUCGCCAUGUCUUUGACUUUCCUCUGUGUUUCACUGCUAAAUUUACUUAAGAAUGGAUUUUCCUGGGUUAGCAGUAUUUUAACAUCUUCUAUGCAGACAUUUACAAUCCUUGCAUGAAUGAAUGGGUAUAGAGUAUAUAUUCCCUCUUGUGCUAAUCUGAAGGCACAUCCAAACUGCUCACCAUCACUGUUGCGAGACCAGACUUUUAUCCCUGUGUUGAUAACCUUCAUCUUCUCACUGUUGUUGAGAAGCACAUUCCUUAACUCCUUAGAAACCAUGUACAGCUGUCUCUUCUUUCCUUCUUGAGUUCGAGUUAAUAAAUUCAUCUUGGGAAAUGAAGGGUCCAGUGCAUAAAACUUCCUGUGGCCAUAAUACUUGUUUUGAUUAACUGAGCAAUGAAAUCACAUACUCAAGAAGUACAGAUGCGUGCGUUUCCUUAAGCUAUCACUGCAAACACCUUCAGUUAGUUGACAUUAGCUUCAGUACGCAAAGAUUAACAUUUCAAAGACUCCUGAGAUCAGAAAUGAUUCAAUGUCACAGACAGUAAGAUACAUUUGAAUGUUCCCAGAGCAAACUAUCACCCAUGGCCUUUAGUUGGCCACCUUCAUUUAAGAAGAGUUUAAAGCAUUGAGGAGAUGGGCAGCUAGUGUGAAGACAGGGAACAAGUUUACCUGUGACCAACGAGACCCAUCUUGUGUAGUUAACUAAAUUGCUAAUAUUCCUAAAACUGUUAGGAAUCUUACUAGGAAAAAAAACAAAACAAAA
rnacentral:lncRNA from 1 species